GGGGUUCGAGCCAGGCAGCCUGCGUGCUCCGGGGGCUGACGCAAUUGGAGAAUUUGGCUUCUUUUUAUCACAUAUAUCAUUUUGCCAUAUAUGGUCACCGAGAGCUACUGGCUGCGAGGCUCGGGCCCAGAUGGUGGGCUCCCAGAGCGAAGUGAGCCACAUACCAGCCCAGAACAAACAAGACCAUCGCUCACUCCGCUGGACAGACUCUGGAGCUAGAGCAGUUCUCUGAAGACUGGUGAGAUGACUUUCCAUCGUGGUAACGCUACUGAACAAUUACCAUGCACCCCCCCGCCACAACGAUGCCGCAGGCUGAGGACAUGUCAUGUCAUGUUCUACUAAUCGGCCCACUUUAAAGAUGAGAAAACUGAGGCUGAGAGAAGCUAAAUCACUUGGCCGAGGUCCCACCAACACUACCUACGUGCGGUAGCAGGAACAUAAUUCCAGAGCUUACGCACCUGAACGUAAUUGGUGGGUACACCCCAGACUUAUUGCUGGUUGUCUUUUCAGGGAUGUCAAGGUUAACCCAGGCAGGACCAGCUCAGGGAGGAUCCUUGAGGUCGUGGAGAGAAAUGCUUUCGUUACACUGCUCGAUUUUAGUACCAAGCGCAUGGUGCCUCCCCCUUGCCCUCCGCCAUGCGCUGCCAGACGAGGGGUUUCAAAGCUUGCUUCUCCACAGAAUCAGCGCACGAAACAAUGGUUGGCCCAAAGGAAGCAUUCACACGUACGGCGCACGAGUUAAAAAUCAAGAAACCGACUUUGAGAAACAAGACCCCUACAAGGCAAGACACAGACGCCCCUGGUUCCCGGUGCACAAAGGCUACACUCCCACGUUCCUGUCCUUCCCCCCUCCGUGAUUCCAGCACGAGGCAACUCUGCCUUUUUGCCUCACUGACUUGUUCUGUUGGCCACACUCCUCCUUCCCCUCCGAGAGAUCUGUGGCUCAGCUCUUUGGCCAUCCUUGGAACUCAUUUCCAGCACUUUCUGCAGUGCUGCCAAAGGAGCCAGUGGAGGGGGCCAUGGAGGCAUGGAGGCCAUUGGGGACACCAUAGGCUAGGUCUGAAGGUCAGGUCUGAAGGUCAAAGGGGCCAGUGCUUGCCAUGGUUCUGACCAUGAGGCUUCUUGCUCCAGGGCAGACAAGGGUCUCAGUAUGUUAUGGAGAAUGGGAAAUGUCAGCCAUGAGACACCUCCCUGGGUGGAGGAGGAAGAAAUAGGUAAGGCAACCUUGGGAGGAACUCCUUUAAAGCUUCAGGAACCGGGUUCACCCAGAGAAUGGAGGUACUGGUGAGGCCCAGGUGAGGCAGGGGAUGCCAGGCAUGGGAGCAGCUCUGGUCUCCAGAUCCUCAUGGAUACGAUGGUCUAUUCUUUUUUUUUUUUUUUUAAGAUUUUAUUUAUUUGUUUGAAGGAGAGAGCACAUGGCAGCGGGGUGGGGGCAGGGGUAUAGGCAGGGGGUAGAGGCAGAGGGAGAGGGAGAAGCAGACUCCCAGCUGAGCAGGGAGCCUUAUUCAGAGCUCCGUCGCAGACCUGGUAUCUUGACUUGAGCCAAAGGCAGAUGCUUAACCGACUGAGCCAGCCAGGUGCCCCCCCUUCCCACCCACCCCCACCGCCCCAGUUGUCCUUUUAAUGAAUUCUUUUUUUUUUUUUUAAGAUUUUAUUUAUUUAUUUAUUUGACAGAGAUCACAGUAGACAGAGAGGCAGGCAGAGAGAGAGAGCGGGAAGCAGGCUCCCUGCUGAGCAGAGAACCCGAUGCGGGCAGGACUCAAUCCCAGGACCUGAGCCGAAGGCAGCGGCUUAACCCACUGAGCCACCCAGGCGCCCUCCAAUUGUCCUUUUAAAACGUUUUCACGUGGCACCUGGCUGGCUCAGUCAGGGGAGCCUGCAACUCUUGAUCUCACUGCUGUGAGUUCAAGCCCCAUGUGGGGUGUCAAGAUUACUUAAAUAAAUAAAACUGAAAAAAAAAAUAACACGCAAAAAAAAAAAUUGAAAACGUUUUCAUUAUUGAAAUUUUCAAACCGAUAGGAAAGUUGAGAAAAUAGUACAGAGAACCCCCUCGUACUUGCCAUCCCAUUUCAAUAGUUAACAACAUUCUGGGGCUCUUGCCUCAUCAUUCCCUCCACACGU
ensembl:lincRNA